GACGAACCGUCCAAACGUUAUUCGGAAUCACUGGGCUUACAGAGUUCGUGGGCGGUCUGGCAAGUUGGGUGUGAAAUCCCUCGGCUCAACCGAGGAACUGCGCUCAAAACUACCCGACUCGAGGGAGAUAGAGGAAAGCGGAACUGAUGGUGGAGCGGUGAAAUGCGUUGAUAUCAUCAGGAACACCGGUGGCGAAGGCGGCUUUCUGGGUCUUACCUGACGCUGAGGAACGAAAGCUAGGGGAGCGAACGGG
rnacentral:rRNA from 1 species